rnacentral:rRNA from 1 species
CCUACGGGAGGCAGCAGUGGGGAAUAUUGCGCAAUGGCCGAAAGGCUGACGCAGCGACGCCGCGUGUGGGAGGAAGCCCUUCGGGGUGUAAACCACUGUCGGGGGGGACGAAUCGCGAACGGGCAAAUAGCCCGGACGCUUGACGGUACCUCCAAAGGAAGCACCGGCUAACUCCGAGCCAGCAGCCGCGGUAAU